CCUACGGGAGGCAGCAGUAAGGAAUAUUGGACAAUGGACGAAAGUCUGAUCCAGCCAUGCCGCGUGCAGGGAUGACAAGCCCUAUGGGUUGUAAACUGCUUUUAUACAGGAAGAAACACUCGCGACGUGUCGGAGCUUGACGGUACUGUAAGAAUAAGGAUCGGCUAACUCCGUGCCAGCAGCCGCGGUAAUACGGAGGAUCCAAGCGUUAUCCGGAAUCAUUGGGUUUAAAGGGUCCGCAGGCGGUCUUUUAAGUCAGAGGUGAAAUCCCACAGCUCAACUGUGGAACUGCCUUUGAUACUGAAAGACUUGAGUUAUUGUGAAGUGGUUAGAAUGUGUGGUGUAGCGGUGAAAUGCAUAGAUAUCACACAGAAUACCGAUUGCGAAGGCAGUCCACUAACAAUAUACUGACGCUCAUGGACGAAAGGCGUGGGGAAGCCGAACAGGAUUAGAUACCCUGGUAG
rnacentral:rRNA from 1 species